UACAGCAGCCAUAUCACCCUACAACUCACACCUGGCAGCCCCACUGAAGCCCAGCAGGUGUGAGCCUGGCCAGUACCUGGAUGGGAGACCUCCUGGGAAAAACUAAGGUUGCCGCUGGAA
rnacentral:rRNA from 1 species